GAUAUUUUCCCUAUAAACAAAGCCCCAUCGAAACCAUUCUGGCGCGGUGUGGGGUAAUAAGGUUUCAUUGGGUAGAUUGACCUACUUACAAUCGCCCCUAUAAAAACGUUAACGGAUCGGUGUGGGAUUUUAGUUAUUGGGCCGUUAACGUCUUUCCGCUUUCGUGCCGGUGUGGGAUUUCCCCAAUCACGCCAGAACCAACAUGAUGAAAUCUUUAUUAUAACAUAAAAAACAAUAUUAUGAUGUUUUAAAAUGUAGUAUUAAUCGUCUUAAAGCUAAAUGUUGCUUUGAAUCCUUUUUGUAAGUAAUAUUAAGAUUUUUUUUAAAAAUUAAUUAGGGUUCUAUUGGGGAAAUCCCUAACUGGAAUAGUGAAGUUUUACCCGUAUGGGCCCAAUGCAGACUUUUCGUAAUCAAAUAGUGUGUGUGUGUGUGUGUGUCUGAUUUUUUAAUGUGCACACUAAAAAAAUAUAUCUAUAUCUAGUAAUAUUUAAUCACACAUAGAAUCUUAAGUUAAAGGAGAACAUAUUUGUUUUUUUUUGUUGUUUUUUUUUUUAGAUUUAGAUUUUAAAAAAAAGUUUUAUACAUUUUAACAUUUUUUUCGACCAAUGAAAAAGAAGCAUUUAUUUCUUUUAAGCUCGCGAUAUUCGGCACAAACUGGAUUAUUCAGUCUUCACUCUAGAGCGUACACACGUGGAUCAAAUUAGAGCUAGCUAGAUCUAGAUCUAAAUCUAGUUGAAGAUAUCUACUUGGUAGUCACCAGGUAGUCUAAACCUCAAAGGAGCUUAGGGAAGUGAUGGCAGUUGCAGGGUAUGAACCAGACGACCAUGCAGAGACCAACGAGGCGACCAAACAGUCCAUCGUGCAUACCACAUAACCAGGUCCAGAAUGCCAGUUUUCUUUAAGGGCAGCUGACAAUAAGAAUUGUUAUUGAAGAUUACGACAUCCUAUUAUUAAAGCAGAAUAAUUAACUAAGCAGUUGAUAUUAUGAACUGAAUUAUCUGUAAUAGAUUCUGUCUAUAAUUACCUUUGCUAGAUGCUAUCGCUUCGAAUUAUUCUGAGCGAAUGAUUUUUAAAAAAAGCACAUUGAAAGGGAGGUCAUGAAGUUAGUUCCGGCGACCUCCAUUCUCAUUGGUUUAAAAAAAAACGAGAUUUUAUAAAUAUUUUUUUUUUAAAUAACCAAAAAUAAAAAAAUAAUAAUAAAUUAUUAUGGUGGAAAUACAAAAAUAAGUGUUUUACAGCGAAAAUCGGCAAAAUAUAAAUAAUAUUUAAAAAAAAAUGUACACAUUGUUUGGCGACAUCACAAAUUCAAAAAUUGCAUCGAGGCUAUUUUUUUUCAAAUUUAAGACAAAAGAAGCAUUUUAUUUACUUUUUUUUUUCUUUAUGGUGUGCAACAAUCAUUUUUAAAUACUAAGUAUGUAUUUUAUACAUGAGUUAUAUUUCUAAAAUAUGUUUCUUACCUUUUGAAAUGGGAUCACAUAAAUCCAAAAGUAAAUGUUGUCUGUCUUUUUGGCAAUACUUCAUGAUAUUCACAAACGCACAAAUUCAAUAUAAAAACGAAUUUCACAAAAAUUUUGCUAAUGAAGCUUCCAGAAACAUAGAUCUAUCCAUCAGUAAAAGCAAAUAUACCACAGAUGGUCUAUAUUCAGAGAUAAUGAAUAUUGAACUCGAAAAAUGCAUUUUCAAUAGAGAAUCUGUUUUCCGCCAUAAUUAACUUCAAGGACGGGAACACGGGUAUCUAUCUUAAGCCAGGCGCGCGCGGUGAAAAAAAAACAAAACACGCGUUUUGACUUAGUCAACCUGAAGGUGCACCUCUGAAUUGAGAUCUUAGUCUGUAAAAGCUAAAAACCUAUAAUUUUAAAAUUAAUAUCGACUACUACGGCAAUUAUUUUACUUUAAUAUUGGUGCAUUGCAUGCGUCAUAAAAUCGGCCCGGCAAUGCGAUGUUUCAGCGCGAGGGGGGGGGGGCACAUUUUGAACUUAGAUUUUAGAUCUAAAUUAAUCUAUCUCUAGAUCUAUAAUAGUUUCUACAGAUCUAGAUCUAUAAAGACUAGAUCUUAACCAUAUUUUAAAAUCAAUCUAGCGAAAUGCUUUUAGAUUAGUUAGACAUAGAUCGAUCUCUAGGUCUAGGACUAGAUCUAGGUCACUGGACUUAGAUUCUGAGAUUAGAUUAGUCUAGAUCUAGUCAUUAGAGUUAAUAAGCGUGAAAUUAUUUAAAUAUUUACUGAUCUAGAUCUAAAUUCUCUUAUCAGGAUAGAUUAGAUCUAGAACUAGAUGAUUUAGAUCUAUAUUUAUUAUAUAUAGUCAUUUCUAGUAGAUAGUCAAGUAGCGAUGUACACACGUGGAUCAAGAAUCAAGACCGUAGUGAUCUAGUCUAAGUCUAAAUGUAGACUCUAGGUCUUAGAUCUAUAUAAUUUAUAUAGCCUUAUAUCUACGUCUAAAUAUAAUUCAUAGUAAGACUUAGGACUAGAUUUUAAAAUGGAAAAAAAUAUGAGAUCUAAAUCUACUAUCUAGUCAUUUCUAGAUCUAGUAACUAGUAUUACUAGUAGAUAGUCAAUUAGCGAUGUACACGUGUGGAUCUAGGAAUCUAAAUGUAGAUUAGAUCUAAGAUUUUAUAUAUCUAAAUCUAAUUCAUAGGAUCUUAUAAACUCAGUAGGGUUAAAUUAGAUCUGAUCUCUAGAUCUACAUCUUAAAUUACUUAAAGUUAAAGUGGAAAAAAUCUAGAUAGAUCUAGUGACCUAGUCAAUUAUAAACAAGAGUAGAAGAGAUUCAAUAGACAUAGUGACAUAGUUAAAAAUAACAACAAACACAUAUUAACCAAAUUAUAAAAGUUGUUUUUAUUUUUUUCUCAGCAACAGUUACUACAGAUACAAAGAUUGAGAUUAUUUGAGAUAGUAAACAGAAUAGUCAAUAGAUAUAGAUCAUGCACCAUGCAAGUUAAGCUUUAUUAGGUCUAACUCUAAGUAGAGUACUCUAGACCUAGAUCUAAAAAGUGAUCAAGAACUAGAAUAGAUCUAAAUCUUGUUAAUAUUUCAUUUAAUAUUAGAUCUUUUCUAGUCUAAAAUUAUACAUAUCUAUAACCUUUAUCUAAAAUUGAUAUAAAUAGUAUCAUGUUAAAACAUGAAGAUAAGAGAAAAAAAAAAGACUUUUUAUUGGUAGCGUGGGCCGAAGAGGGGGCUUAUUUAUUAAUUAUAAAUACUUUUUAAGGUUGUUGUUUUUUUUUUCAAAUGUUAUAUAAAUAUACUUUACUUUGUGACAUAGUUUUAAGCAAAUAAUAUUGUGAAUUUGUGAAAUUCAUGGAUUAUUGGACAUAUCUUCUGUGAAUUAUGGAUUUUUCAUUAUUAGGGGUAAGUGUGUUUGACCUCAUUUUUUUAUGUUAAAUACUUGUCUGAUGAUAAUGAAUUUACUUUUUUUGGAUUCCUCUCUUCUUGGGCAUUAAAAUUGAUACAUAAUAUGUCUAAACUGAUUAUGUUUUUGUUAUUUAGGAUAAUGAUAAAGUAUAAUUUGCAACCUAAUUUUUUUUACGGAGGGGGUGGGGUCUGGGGUGGCUCAAUUAAUUUGCAUAAAUGACUUAAAAAACUUGUUUUUAUAUUUUUUUCAAAUGUUCUAUAAAUAUACUUUACUUUGGGAUAUAUUUUUCUAUAAAUAAUAUUGUGAAUUUGUGAAAUUCAUGGAUUAUGGGACAUAUCUUCUGUGAGUGAGGAAUUUUUCAUUAUUAGGGGUAAGUGUGUUUGACCUCAUUUUUUCAAGUUAAAUAAUUGUCUGUUGCUUCUGAUUUUAUUUUUUUUGAAUUCCUCUAUUCUUGGGCAAUAAAUUUGAUAUAUAAUAUGUCAAUAAAAGUAAUUUUGAAAUUGGUCAAAAAAAUGGUCCUUAAAGUAGAAUGUUGAGAGCUCAAUCUGUUUUCCGCCCUAUGUAUGCACUACAGAUGCUGUUCAAUAUCUUUUCAUGAGGAAGCCUGCUCAAAAAGAUCGCCACAUUUUCUUUAGGGGAAGUUGACAUUAAUCUUUUAGGUUAAUAAUAACCUAUGCAUGCAGUACAGAUGCUGUUCAUCUUUUCAUAAGCAAGCCUGCUCAAGAAGCUGCUGCAUGGAAGUCAAAAUAUGAAUUAUUGCCACCAGUCUUGAAGUCAGCUUGUAAAGAAUGCUAACAAUUGAAUGAAAAUGCUGUCUUGAUAUCUUGUUUGUGCUGUUAUAUUUGUCUUUUGUGUUGGUUAAUUAUUCCAUGAAUAAAAAAUAAAAAAAAGUUAA